rnacentral:misc_RNA from 1 species
AUUGAAGUGGCUUGUUCUCCAAAAGGAAUUGCUUUGAGUCAACGCAAGUACGCUCUUGACAUCUUGGCCGAAAGUGGACUCACAAGUUGCAAACCAGUUUCCUCUCCCAUGGAGCAGCAACAUAAGCUUUCUCUUGAAACUGGAGAUUUUUGUGCCAAUCCAGAACAAUAUCGUCAAAUUGUUGGUUGAUUGCUCUACCUCACCAUUACUCGUCUAUAUAUCAGUUAUGCAGUAUAUAUUCUUAGUCAGUUUAUGCAUGCUCCAAGGAAACCACACUUAGAUGCAGCAUAUCGUGUGUCACGAUAUUUGAAAGGUAAUCCCGGCCAAGGAAUACUGCUCCCUUCUAACAAUUCACUAGAAUUA